rnacentral:rRNA from 1 species
GGAAGUAAAAAAGUCGUAACAAGGUUUCCGUAGGUGAACCUGCGGAAGGAUCAUUACCACACCUAAAAAACUUUCCACGUGAACCGUUUCAACCCAAUAGUUGGGGGUCUUAUUUGGCGGCGGCUGCUGGCUUAAUUGUUGGCGGCUGCUGCUGAGUGAGCCCUAUCAAAAAAAAGGCGAACGUUUGGGCUUCGGCCUGAUUUAGUAGUCUUUUUUUCUUUUAAACCCAUUCCUUAAUACUGAAUAUACUGUGGGGACGAAAGUCUCUGCUUUUAACUAGAUAGCAACUUUCAGCAGUGGAUGUCUAGGCUCGCACAUCGAUGAAGAACGCUGCGAACUGCGAUACGUAAUGCGAAUUGCAGGAUUCAGUGAGUCAUCGAAAUUUUGAACGCAUAUUGCACUUCCGGGUUAGUCCUGGAAGUAUGCCUGUAUCAGUGUCCGUACAUUAAACUUGACUUUCUUCCUUCCGUGUAGUCGGUGGAGGAGAUGUCAGAUGUGAAGUGUCUUGCGAUUGGUCUUCGGACCGGCUGCGAGUCCUUUUAAAUGUACUAAACUGAACUUCUCUUUGCUCGAAAAGUGGUGGCGUUGCUGGUUGUGAAGGCUGCUAUUGUGGCAAAUUGGCGACUGGUUUGUCUGCUGCGGCGUUAAUGGAAGAGUGUUCGAUUCGUGGUAUGGUUGGCUUCGGCUGAACAAUGCACUUAUUGGACGUUUUUCCUGCUGUGGCGUGAUGGACUGGUGAACCAUAGCUCGGUGGCUUGGCUUUUGAAUUGGCUUUGCUGUUGCGAAGUAGGGUGGCAGCUUCGGUUGUCGAGGGUCGAUCCAUUUGGGAACUUAAUGUGUACUUCGGUAUGCAUCUCAAUUGGACCUGAUAUCAGGCAAGAUUACCCGCUGAACUUAAGCAUAUCAAUAA